rnacentral:rRNA from 1 species
UACGUAGGGGGCAAGCGUUAUCCGGAAUUACUGGGUGUAAAGGGAGCGUAGACGGUAAUGUAAGUCUGGAGUGAAAGGCGGGGGGCCAACCCCCGGACUGCUCUGGAAACUAUGUUACUAGAGUGCAGGAGAGGUAAGCGGAAUUCCUAGUGUAGCGGUGAAAUGCGUAGAUAUUAGGAGGAACACCAGUGGCGAAGGCGGCUUACUGGACUGUAACUGACGUUGAGGCUCGAAAGCGUGGGGAGCAAACAGG